rnacentral:lncRNA from 1 species
AAGAGGCAAAUUCAGGAUUGAUUCUUUCUUUUCCUGGUGAAGAUGGCUUGAAAGGAGUGGAAAAGGAGGAAAAAAUCAGAGGACGACCAAGGUGGAUCGAUUCUUUUUCUUCCCUUUUGGCUAUCAAAAGAGGGAAGCCACUCCAAGAAAACGGGAGACCAGAUUCACUGAGUUUUUCCUUCUUUCAAUCUCUUUCAAUUUCUUAAUGUUAACUCUUUAUUUAAACUUUUCUUCAAUUUUAGCAUGAAUUAAUUUCUAUCUUCUAGAGUUUGAGAUGUAGCCUAACUACGAUUAUGUGAAUCUUCCUUUACUUGAAUUAAUUGGUAUUUGUUCCAAUUGUUGAGUAUUUCAUUCUUGACUUAAUGCUUGUAAAUUGACCGAUCACCAUUCACUUGAGUUGGGAUUCAAUUUGAGACAGAGAAGUAAUAAUUGUUUCAGCCAAUGUUUGAGAUACCACAGGAAUUCUGUAGGAUAGAGAUAUCUAUGAACUUGUGUAAUCUUUAUGGGUUUAUUUUUGUUCUUAAUGAAUCUUGACAGGCUUAGAAUUUUCACAGAGAUGCAGAAAAUUUUCUUGUUGAGAUAUUUCGUUAAUGCUUGAGAAAGAUUAAUGAAUAAAUUAGAAAGACUUGAUUAUCA